ACUUUCGCUUUAUCCGGCGGACGGUGAGGAUGCCUGGGUACGACUGCUCGUUUCUGUCAGGAAUGGACCCCCAGCGCUGUGUCUGUCCUCUGUGUCAGUUGCCGAUGAGGGACCCCGUCAUCAUCUCAUCGUGUGGACACCGAUUCUGUGACGUCUGCCUCCAAGAAUACUUCAGUGGUGGGGUGUCCAAAUGCCCAGAAGAUGACAGACCUUUGGACUAUGCACAGAUUUACCCAGAUGAGGAGCUAACGACGGAAGUCAUGAACAGCCUGGUCAGAUGUCGGAACGUCAAAGAUGGCUGCCGCUGGGUGGGCAAGCUCCAGAUUCUACAGGUAGGUCGUGUCUGUCACUUCCUCUCAUUGUUAACCAGAAAACACUGUACAAAGUAGUAAGUAUGUUCUAAAAUAUAUGAUGAAUGAGGAUGAGAUAAGUUUAUAGAUUUAACCAGCAUGUAGUAUGCAUGAUAUCAGCUUUUCUAUGACACAGCCAUCCAGAGUACACUCUUUAUUAUUGAAACAGUUCACAUAUAAUACCCUAUAUAUUUUCUGAUGACGUGCAUGUAUAAACAAAUUUUCAGAAUUAAGAUUUUCUGACUGUUUAUGCAAACCUAUCUCAAGUAUCAAUAGAGAUGCUAUAUGUAAAUCUAUAUCCAGUUUUUAUCAAAAAAUGGAGAUACUGGUAAAAUAUUGACAAACGUUGAACAAAACAGAAAAAACCUCCAGAAUAGCACAAUAUACAUGUAAAUAAAGCCAGUCAACAUCUUGCCAUCUGCCAAGGUGUCAUAAUGAAAGGAAAUAUUUGUUUUACAUUUCCUUGUAUCAAAUUUUACCAGUUUAUACAUAUUCUGUUGAAUUUGUUUGUGUGAGUUUGAAUAGCUGCAGUUCAAUGUAGAUGUCUGUCGGCACAUCCUGUAACAUCUGUGUGGUAUAGUUAUUGAUCUCCGAGUGUUGUGUAUACCUAGCCCCAUUAUCAUCCAAUAUCUCUCGGAUACCUCCAAAUGUCACCCACUACACAUAGGUACACCUAGAUGAGUGUCCGUUUGAUGCCCUACCUUGCCCCCUAAGAUGUGGUGCAGUGCUGCCCCGCCUAGACUUGGAGGACCACCUGGAAUUUACCUGUUGCAGGCGACAGGUGGUGUGUGAAUUUUGUUCCAAAAAAUUCCCAGGAGACGUCUAUGAAAAGCAACACUCUGGUCAGUGCAUAUCGGAGGUCAUGUGGUGUGAGAAUAAAUGUGGUGCCCGGCUCGAGCGCCGCUUCCUGGCCAACCACAUGAGGAACGAGUGCCACAAACGGACGGUGCUCUGCCAGUUCUGUAGCAGGGAGUUUGUCCAGGAGACUCUUCAGACCCACCAGUACCAGUGCCCUAGGUACCCUGUGGUGUGCCCUAACAGAUGUGACCCCACAAAGAUUCCCCGAGAGGACCUUGACCUCCAUGUGACAGAACUUUGUCCUUCAGCAACCAUUUCCUGUUCCUUCAGAGAUGCAGGAUGUAAACAUAAGUGUCCUAGAUUCAGCAUGGAAAAGCAUACAGCAGAGAAUGUACAGCAUCAUCUUAAACUCAUGUGUGACCUCUCAAAAACUCAACAAACUCAAAUCACUCAGCUGUGUAAUGCCUUAUACUCACUCACCCAUAUCACUGACGGUGAAUUCAUCUGGAAAAUCUCAAACUACAAGCAGAAGUUUUUGGAGUCUGCUUACAAGAGUGUCGAACUUGUCAGUGAGCCAUUCUACACAGCCAGAUAUGGAUACAAAAUGGCCGCCUCUGUGUUCCUGAAUGGGAAUGGUGCAGGGGAGGGAAAAUACUUGUCCGUGUACAUCAAGAUUCUCCCCGGGGAGUAUGACAACAUUCUGGAGUGGCCGUUCAUUUUGCCGAUUUCGUUUUCGAUUUAUGACCAGAAUAUUGACUAUGAUCUGAGAGCUAACAUUACCGAGAGCUUUGUUCCAGAUCCGACCUGGAAACAUUUUCAGAAACCGGUCAAGGACACAGGUGCACUGGGAUUCGGGUACCCUAAAUUUGUGUCCCACGAAAUCCUGAAGACAAGAGACUACAUCAAAGAUGACAGCAUCAUCAUCAAAGUGAAAGUAGACAGUUACAGAAACUGCACGUCUCCAUGACUACCUCAUUAACCAUGUUAACAAUCAAACAAACCAGUCAUGAUAUUUAUUUGUUGUUAUGAUAUACAUCAAUUACUAUUUUGUGAUUGUAAAAUGUGCUAUUUUUAUCCCAGUCUUCUCUUACUAGUUCUUUCUUUCCAUCUUCCCCUUUAUUUAUGAUUGUGAAACUGUAUGCCUGUGUGUAUAAAUAUAACUUUAGCAGGAAUGGGUAUAUCAACUUUUUAUUUUAGAGCAAUGAUGAAGAUAGUUGGUGCAUUCGAUGAAAUUGAAUGCAUUUAACUUCUGCAUUUAUCAUAUUUUCAUCAUGAUUGAGCAAGGAUGUCUGUAUAAUAUAUUUGUAUGAAUUAGGGCAUCUGCACUUUAUAUGUGUAUGAAUGGAGAUAUCUGUACAAUAUAAUUUAGUGAAUGAAUGAGUCAGACGUUAUUUGUAUGUAAAUGAAGAUAUAAUUAUGAAAGCUGUGUGUGAUUGAAUCUACCAGGCAUGUCUUGCCAUCCCAUCAACAUGACUGUGUGUAGAUGAGUAGCGUUAUGUGUGAUAGGAACCGUUAUGACACUGUGUGACUGAAUGUGAGUGAUGGAUGAUUGGCCACAAACUUGAUAAUCCAAAAUAAAUAAUUAAAAAACUUA
rnacentral:misc_RNA from 1 species